CAAACGUCACAUCUUUGCUAUUUUAUUUUCAAAUAAUUAUUUUAUUCUAUUUUCUUUAAUAAUUCUUUAAUAAUAAUCCUCUUCUAUUUGUUUUACCUUUUUUCCCGUUAAAAAUUGGUUGGCGCCCUCUUUCGGUAUUUAUAGGCAUAUCUCAACAUUCUUGUUCUAUCUCAGAAUUCACAUUCUUAUUCAAUCGUUCUGUGGUUCAUGACAGUGACUUCGCACUGUCGUUUCUCUUUCAAAUUUUAAGCCCCACUCACCAACUCUGUCAAUGUCAAGUGAACCCUUCUCUUUGUCAAAAUGAAGAAUAUUUUUUAUUUUAAUUCUAAAAUCUACUUAAGGCAAUGUCUGGCCUCAUAGCCACAUUUUCAAACAGACGUUCUUAAUUGGGUUUUCUGGACAAAUAAGAAUCUUCACCGGACAACCCUUCACCUCGUGGGAGGACUCCCUGAACCUGGAGCCCCCAAUAUCGCCGGCGAUGCUACAGUAAUUUAGCAUAGACACCACACCAUCAACCAACACCUGUAGGCCUGGUGGCCAGAACAUCCACGUCGCCAGAGCCCGUUGCAGAACAACAGCAAGACACCAAGAACCUGCAGACAGAUACCAAGUGCCAUCGAUAAGUAUAAUCUCUGAUCUGUAAAGUUUCGGCAAGGUCUUUUAAAUUAUUUUUUUUAAUACAUUAAUUAUGUCUUUUAUGAAAAAUAAACAUGAUUAGUUAAA